CAAAAGUUGGCAACCACACACGUCUGGCCGGGCUCGAAUCUCUCGAACACUCCUUUACACCAGAAUCCCAAAGUUUCCAAUAGCAUUCCCACACAAGAUCAUCUUUAUGCAGGCCCAAGAUCCAGUCCACGUCCGUAGGCCGUAGCCACACUGUGCAGCUGCAGCCAUCAGGAGAUUCGUGGGCCGCGGUUGAUCCUUAGCGGCCAAGAAGUCCAAGUUUAUCCUUAGGAAGUGUACUGGAAGUUAGGUAGGAAAAUAUCCCUAAGUUAGGAACCAUUAUUUUUCUUUUUAUCUGUAUUAUACUCUCUCCGAUCCAUAAAAAAUUGUCGUUUACUUAGUACUUCCUCCGUUUCAUAAUUCUUGUCGAAAUAUUACAUGUAUCUAAACAUUUUUUAAGAAUAGAUACAUCCAUUUUUUUUGACAAAUUUAAGACAAGAAUUAUGGAACGGAGGGAGUACAAAAUUUGUGCCAACUUUAGAAAAUGGACGAUAUUUUUUAUGGAUCGGAGGAAGUAAAUGGUCUCUCGGCCACUCAUUUCAAAACCAGGGGCAGAGGCAGCACCCAGGCCAGCACGGGCCCUGACCCCCCUAAAAUUUGAAAUUUUUAGUUAAGCCUUUUCAUAACCUUUGCAAUAGUUUCAGUAUUUAUGCUUCGGCCUCCCAAUAAAUCAUUUCUUCUCUUCUGGCUCUUCCUAUGCUUUUUUUUUCUGCCUCUGCCCCCGUCCAAACCGUUAGAUCGAAAUUAACGGUUUACAUUACAGACUUGAUUUAUAGGUCCUUCUUACCGCGCCCAAAUUGCACCAUUCAGAUUUCAGACUUGAUCUCGAGUACGGCCUCCGCUUGUCCUCUUUUACGGUAUGUAGUGAGCGAACGGACAGGUCGGUCUUCCUCUUCCCGUAUGCACCUAUAACCUAUUGCGAGCAAUCUGAGGCUGGCUGAACCGUCCACUGUAGUAGUCGCCUUUCUUCCCCCUGAAACUCUCGCUGCCACCGCGUAAUACGGGCAGUAAACUCGGUUACAACGACUUGGAUUCUUGGAGGCUCUUGCUUCAGAGUGUCAGGUCAGUUCGGAUAGCAUGUGUGAGUGCUUCUAAGAGCAUCUCCAAUGUAUUUUAUAUGUAACUUGGUAUGUAAUGGCCACAACAUCAACCAAAACUGUUGCAUAAAACUACUCUAAUAGCUUGUAUUUACGUUCCUAGUAGUCCGUAUCAUAUGUUUUAUACUCCGUAUUAUAAUUUUAUCUUUGCUUGCGUGCAACCCUUGUACUACUGUAUAAGUUUUCCUUUUUUCAAAAAAAUAUUGUUUCAAGUUUAAGCAACAA